GGAGAGAUGGCUCAGUGGUUAAGAGCACUGACUGCUCUUCCAGAGGACCUGAGUUCAAAUCCCAGCAACCCCA
rnacentral:tRNA from 1 species